GCCUGGCUGGCUCAGUCGGUAGAACACGGGACUCUUGAUCUUGGGGUUGUAAGUUCAAGCCCCACGUUAGGUG
rnacentral:tRNA from 1 species